UACGGAGGAGGCAAGCGUUAUCCGGAAUGAUUGGGCGUAAAGCGUCCGCAGGUGGCUUUGUAAGUCUGCUGUUAAAGAGUGAGGCUCAACCUCAUAAGAGCAGUGGAAACUACAAGGCUAGAGUACGUUCGGGGCAGAGGGAAUUCCUGGUGUAGCGGUGAAAUGCGUAGAGAUCAGGAAGAACACCGGUGGCGAAAGCGCUCUGCUAGGCCGUAACUGACACUGAGGGACGAAAGCUAGGGGAGCGAAUGGG
rnacentral:rRNA from 1 species